CCAGAACCAGUGUGAGUCGAGGAUAGC
rnacentral:sRNA from 1 species